UACGUAGGGUGCGAGCGUUAAUCGGAAUUACUGGGCGUAAAGCGUGCGCAGGCGGUUUUGUAAGUCAGAUGUGAAAUCCCCGGACUUAACCUGGGAACUGCGUUUGAAACUACAAGGCUAGAGUGUGGCAGAGGGGGGUGGAAUUCCACGUGUAGCAGUGAAAUGCGUAGAGAUGUGGAGGAACACCGAUGGCGAAGGCAGCCCCCUGGGUUAACACUGACGCUCAGGCACGAAAGCGUGGGGAGCAAACAGG
rnacentral:rRNA from 1 species